UACGUAGGGCGCAAGCGUGUCCGGAAUUAUUGGGCGUAAAGAGCUCGUAGGCGGCCUGUUACGUCUGCUGUGAAAUCCCGGGGCUUAACCCCGGGCGUGCAGUGGAUACGGGCAGGCUGGAGGCAGGCAGGGGAGAACGGAAUUCCCGGUGUAGCGGGUGAAAUGCGCAGAUAGUCGGGAGGAACACCGGUGGCGAAGGCGGUUCUCUGGGCCUGUACUGACGCUGAGGAGCGAAAGCGUGGGGAGCGAACAGGAUUAGAAACCC
rnacentral:rRNA from 1 species